AAAUGUUGAUGGCAGCUGCACAUUUGGCCAUGAGUGGUGUCACAACUGCCAAAGCCUCAUUCAUGAUUUUGACUCUGCUGUGUCUGGUCGAUUUUUCAAGUUCAGUGAUAAACAGGGAUCAACUGGAGGUACUGAAAGCAAACAUUCAAAGAUUACAACAAGAAACAAUGAGAAGGAAGGCUGAAAAUAAUUUGGACAGAGCCUACAUUCCAGCUAUUUUUGAUGAUAUUAAACAUCUCAUGAAUCCUAUGUCCGAAUUUUUGAAGUCAUUGAAUCUUCCUACAUCGCUGUUUAUACCAAUACUGGAUUUAAUGGAUGACACAGAAACCUUUCUGGAAGCCAGCAAGAAGUACAUAAAUAAGUACUUGGAGUCAACAGCUGCAGUAUUCAAGGACAAUGAACAGAAGCUAAGCAGUGUGAUGGCAAUAUUAACACAACUAGAAAAGCAUAAAGAUGAAUUGUAACAUAUUAGUCAUCGUCUGUCUCUAGUAUUACAUGUUCUGUAUUUGUAAAACUUCUCUUUCAUACUGUGCAUGGUUAGAGCCAAGAAAUAAUUUUGUCAUAUUAUCUUUUCAUUGUCUUUGUUAUAAUUGAGUUCAAAUGCAAACACGAAACACUGAACUGAGAUUAUAUCUAAGUAACCUUAAUAACACUGACAAUUGUUAAUGAUUUAAAUGAUGAAAGCCUUUUAAUGUGAAUAAAGACAUUAAUACUGUUAUUAUUUCAUGUUUUUUUGCAUUGUGAUGUUCGUGAGAAAAGAGAAAAGAGCAAACACUAGAGGCUGAUCGUUCUCUAGUGUUUGCUCACUGCCCAAAAUGUAAAUUCUUUAAGCCACAAAAUGCAGAACACCUAUCAGCCAAUCCUCUGAUGUAGGCCGUCUGUGUGUGUAUGUGUGUGUGUGUACUGUUAUUCCACACUAUAGACUAGAUGUUUUAUACUGGUGUUAAAGGGAGAGUUUAGUCCUACACUCAAUCACAU
rnacentral:lncRNA from 1 species